rnacentral:rRNA from 1 species
AGCUCCAAUAGCGUAUAUUAAAGUUGUUGCAGUUAAAAAGCUCGUAGUUGGAUUUCUGGGCCCAACCACCGGUCUAUCGAAAGAUGUGCACUGAGGGUGGGGUCCAUGCCUCCUGAGGGCCACUGGUGCUCUUAACUGAGUGUCUGUGGAACUUGGGACCUUUACUUUGAAAAAAUUAGAGUGUUCAAAGCAGGCCAACGCUUGAAUACAUUAGCAUGGAAUAAUGGAAUAGGACUUUGGUUCUAUUUCGUUGGUUCUAGGACCGAAGUAAUGAUUAAUAGGGAUAGUUGGGGGCAUUAGUAUUUAAUUGUCAGAGGUGAAAUUCUUAGAUUUAUGAAAGACUAACUACUGCGAAAGCAUUUGCCAAGGAUGUUUUCA